ensembl:lncRNA serine-rich adhesin for platelets-like
AUGACACAAGAAACAUCAAAAUUGCAACCAACAACUUCAAAGAGGAUUGAAGGUACAUUUAAUUUACUUGAUUCUGCAACAACAGUAAGUACACCAUCAAUGCCAUCCAUUUCUGCCUCAUCAACAACAAGAACAAUGUCAACAGCUACAUCUCAACCACCAAAAAUAACAGAGAGUGAAAGUACAUCUCUUUUACCGGAAUCUACAACACCUGCAUUGACGACACUGACUCCGACAAUCCCUAACUCAACAUCAACAGUAGAUACAAAGUCGACAAUUUUAAUGACACAAGCAACAUCAAUAUUGCAACCAACAACCACAAAGAUGAUAGUUGGUUCUACAGCAACAGCAGGUACACCCUCAACUCCAUCUUUUACUGCCUCCACAACAUCAGUGACAAUGUCAAUUGCUACAUCUCAACCAACGACAAUAAAAGAGAGUAUAACUACAUCUCUUCUGCCUAAAUCUACAACACCAGUAUUCACGACAAUGACUCAGACAAUCCCUAACUCAACAACAGUAGAUACAAAGUCAACAACAUUAAUGACACAAGAAACAUCAAAAUUGCAACCAACAACUUCAAAGAUGAUUGAAAGUACAUUUCAUUUACUUGAUUCUGCAACAACAGUAAGUACACCAUCAACUCCAUCUUUUUCUGCCUUAUCAACAACAGGAACAAUGUCAACUGUUACAUCUCAACCUCCAACAUUAACAGAGAGUGAAACUACAUCUCUUUUACCAGAAUCUACAACACCGGUAUUCACGACAAUGACUCAGACAAUCCCUAACUCAGCAACAACAGUAGAUACAAAGUCAACGUUUGUAGUUACACAAUCAACAUCAAUACUGCAACCAACAACCAUUAAGUUGAUUGAAACUACAUCUCAUCUACUUGACUUAACAGCACCAGUAGGUACACCAUCAACUCCAUCUUUUUCUGCCUCAUCAACAACAGGAACAAUAUCAACUGUUACAUCUCAACCACGAGCAUUAACAGAGAGUGAAAGUAAAUCUCUUUUACCAGAAUCUACAACACCGGUAUUAACAACAAUGACUCGGACAAUCCCUAACUCAUCAACUACAGUAGAUACAAAAGCAACAUUUGUAGUUACACAACCAACAUCAAUACUGCAACCAACAACCCUUAAGUUGAUUGAAACUACAUCUCAUCUACUUGACUCAACAGCAACAGUAGGUACACCAUCAACUCCAUCUUUUUCUGCCUCCACAACAUCAGUGACAAUGUCAGCUGCUACAUCUCAACCAACAACAAUAAAAGAGAAUAUAAAUACAUCUCUUCUCCCUAAAUCUACAACACCAGUAUUGAUGAUUCUGUCUCAGACAAUCCCUAACUCAGCAACUACAGUGGAUACAAAGGCAAAAUUUGUAGUGACACAACUAACAUCAACACUGCAACCAACAACUACAAAGUUGAUUGAAAGUACAUUUAAUUUACUUGAUUCUGCAACAUCAGUAGGUACACCAUCAUCUCCAUCUUUUUCUGCCUCAUCAACAACAGGAACAAUGUCAACUGUUACAUCUCAACCUCCAACAUUAACAGAGAGUGAAAGUACAUCUCUUUUACCAGAAUCUACAACACCGGUAUUCACGACAAUGACUCAGACAGUCCCUACCUCAACAACAACAGUAGAUACAAAGUCAACAUUUGUAGUUACACAACCAACAUCAAUACUGCAACCAACAACAAUUAAGUUGAUUGAAACUACAUCUCAUCUACUUGACUCAACAGCAACAGUAGGUACACCAUCAACUCCAUCUUUUUCUGCCUCAACAUCAACAGUGACAAUGUCAACUGCUACAUCUCAACCAACUUUAACAGAGAGUGAAAGUACAUCUCUUUUACCAGAAUCUACAACACCUGCAUUGACAAGACUGACUCUGACAAUCCCUAACUCAACAACAACAGUAGAUACAAAGUCGGCAAUUUUAAUGACUCAAGCAACAUCAAUAUAUCAACCAACAACAACAAAGAUGAUAUUUGAUUCUACAGCAACAGCAGGUACACCAUCAACUCCAUCUUUUUCUACCUCAACAACAUCAGUGACAAUGUCAACUGCUACAUCUCAACCAACGACAAUAAAAGAGAGUAUAACUACAUCUCUUUUGCCAAAAUCUACAACACCAGCAUUGACGACACUGACUCAGACAAUUCAAAACUCAACAAUAACAGCAGAUUCAAAGUCGACAAUUUUAAUGACACAACCAACAUCAUUUAUGCAACCAACAACCACAAAGAUGAUACUUGACUCUACAGCAAAAGCAGGAACACCAUCAACUCCAUCAUUUACUGCCUCCAUAACAACAGUGACAAUGUCAACUGCUACAUCUAAACCAACAAGCAUUGGACAGAGUGAAACUACAUCACUUCUGCUAAAAUCUACAACACCAGUGUUUACGACACAGACUCAGAUAAUCCUUAACUCUUCAACUAAAGUAGAUACAAAAACAGCAUUUGCAGUUGCACAACCAACAUAUACACUGCAACCAACAAAGUUGCUUGAAACUACAUCCCAUCUGUUUGACUCUACAACAAAGGAAGGUACACCAUCAACCCCAUAUUUUACUGCCUCAACAACAGUGACAAUGCCAGAUGCUACAUUUAAACCCACAACCACAAAACAUAGUCAAACUACAUCAUCUCUGGUUCACCUUACAACGCCAGUGGGGACGACACAGAUUCAGACAGUCUCUGUUUCAUCAAAAUCAGAAGAUAAAAAGUCAACAACUGUAGUAACAGGACCAGCAUCGACAUUGCAACCUACAUCUUCUUUUCAUAUGACAACCAAAGUGGGUACACAGUCAGCAAUCUCAUCGUCUACAUUUAACGCAACAACCACAAAGCUGAUUCAAACUCUUCUGAACCCUACACUAACACUGGGGACAACACCAAUUACAACUGUGAUUCACUCAACUACCACAAGGCCCACAUUCAGUACAACUGCACGUACCCCAAUGACGUCUUCAGCUCCAACGACAGCUGCUACUUCUAAAACAACCACAACUGUAAAUCCCACCACAAAUACAGCCAUUGUACAUCCUUUACCAUUGGUUGAACUGGUCUUUAUCCUGGUAAUUGAAUAUGUACCUCAACUCAGUGAUAAAAACAGUAGAGAAUUUCAGCAGAAGGCCAAAGAAGUUACAUCUGUGCUUGAUAUUAUCUACCAAAGGAAGUAUGGAAACAUUUUUGUACAGACAGUUGUUAUAUCCUUCAAUAAAAUUGUGGGGAAAAAAAGAGCUCUCGAAAACGUUCAGACACAAGUGGAGCUGGAAUUCAACGACAAUUCAGCAGAGCCCCUCCCAGAAAGCACAAGCAUUGAAAUGACUUUGAAAAAUGCAGUGACUGAUCCGGUCCUAAACAUCACUCUUCCAAUAAUUGUCAACUCUGUAUCAGUCACAAAAAUUCCCCAGAUGGUAAUGAAUCUGCCAUUCCGCACAAAUGAGACAUUUGAUCCUGAUCUGCUCAUUUCAAAUUCAUCAGCAUUCAAGGACAGAUCAUCACUUAUUAAAAAUGAGCUUGAUCCAUUUUUCUUUGAAGACUACACUCCAGAUUACAUUGGUCUGGCUGUACUGAACUACAGCAACGGAUCUAUAAUCUACAAUACCAUUCUGACCUUCACCAACAAUUCCACUUUACCAAAUAACACAUCCAUUUUCCAGACAUUGCUGAGAGCAGCAAGAAGUGGAAAUCUGUCAUUCACCAUGAUCUCCAUAAACAACACAGAUCUGUUUAGUACUGGGUCUACCACGGUGUCUACUAGUACCAGCUACAGUACCAAUACCUCAACAGGACCAUCCAGCAAAGCCAGCACAAUCAGUCAGGUCACGACCUUCAUUUCCAUGGUCUUUUCACUGCUGGUGACAAGGCAGUGGUAAGAUCCAUCACUCCAUCGCUGUCAAUCAUUCUUACCUUCAUGUGUUAGAACACCCCUCCUGAUUGGGGAUUCCUUUAUCUGUGCAUCAUUAUGCUUUGCCUGUUCUAAUUACUUAUUGCACUUUAAAAGCAAGGGUGAAGAAUACAUUUAAGAAGAAUAAUUUUAUUUGAUCAAAAAGCUACUGUAAUGACUGUCACUCACUGAAAUAUACUUUUUAUAAAUCACCACACUGCUCAUGGGAACUUGUUACAGGGAACUACAUUCCAACCUUUCAGUUGUUAAUGAUCUCUGUAAUAAACAAAUUCUGUGGUAGUUUGCUUUGAUGAAA